rnacentral:rRNA from 1 species
ACGCUGGCGGCACGCCUAACACAUGCAAGUCGAACGAAGUAGCAAUACUUAGUGGCAGACGGGUGAGUAACAUGUAGGUAUCUGCCCUUUGGCCUGGAAUAACACGAGGAAACUUGUGCUAAUACCGGAUAAGUCUUAACGGAGAAAGCUUUAUGCACCAUUGGAUGAGCCUGCACUUGAUUAGUUUGUUGGUGGGGUAAUGGCCUACCAAGACUGUGAUCAAUAGCUGAUUUGAGAGGAUGAUCAGCCACAUUGGGACUGAGACACGGCCCAAACUCCUACGGGAGGCAGCAGUGGGGAAUCUUGCACAAUGGAGGAAACUCUGAUGCAGCGAUGCCGCGUGAGUGAAGAAGGCCCUUGGGUUGUAAAGCUCUUUCGUCGGGGAAGAAAAUGACUGUACCCGAAUAAGAAGGUCCGGCUAACUUCGUGCCAGCAGCCGCGGUAAUACGAAGGGACCUAGCGUAGUUCGGAAUUACUGGGCUUAAAGAGUUCGUAGGUGGUUGAAAAAGUUGGUGGUGAAAUCCCAGAGCUUAACUCUGGAACUGCCAUCAAAACUUUUCAGCUAGAGUAUGAUAGAGGAAAGCAGAAUUUCUAGUGUAGAGGUGAAAUUCGUAGAUAUUAGAAAGAAUACCAAUUGCGAAGGCAGCUUUCUGGAUCAUUACUGACACUGAGGAACGAAAGCAUGGGUAGCGAAGAGGAUUAGAUACCCUCGUAGUCCAUGCCGUAAACGAUGUGUGUUAGACGUUGGAAAUUUAUUUUCAGUGUCGCAGCGAAAGCGAUAAACACACCGCCUGGGGAGUACGACCGCAA